CACAAAUGAGAAAAAAGAGUGCAAGUUCACCUAUAUAUACUCCCAAAACACUAUUCAUAUCAGAUUGUAGCUCAGGUACAGAUAUUUUUCGUCUGCCCUUCUGAACGUCUGAUUGAGCUCAAACUUGGCAGUCACAAUUAGUUUAACCUUACUUAACGAAAGAAAUUUUAAUCUUUCAGUUUCGACCCCAUUUGGUCACCGAAAGCUGUACCGAACUGUAAUCUUUAUCAGAUAACUGUCGGAUUUUAUUUUCCACCUUCCGGGUGUCAGAAUGGCAUGAAACUUUAAAUGUAGCCUCAUAAAAAUAAUCCUAACGUAUUCCCAAAUUUUUAAAAUUUUCUGACACCGUGCAUUUUCUGCUAAAAUAUCAGCCCGGUCUCACACAGAAAAUUCUCAAUCUUCUAUUUUCACUCCGAUUUCCGCACAAGUCAGUCCUGACGUAUAAUUUACUUGUCUAAGUCCAAUAAAAAUAGUAUCUCAUACUAUUUUUAUUUAUAUUCACUUUUAAUAAAAAAAUCCGGUAUGCUACACUCCGGCCCGAAAUAUUUAAA
rnacentral:lncRNA from 1 species